UACGAAGGGGGCUAGCGUUGCUCGGAAUCACUGGGCGUAAAGGGUGCGUAGGCGGGUCUUUAAGUCAGGGGUGAAAUCCUGGAGCUCAACUCCAGAACUGCCUUUGAUACUGAAGAUCUUGAGUUCGGGAGAGGUGAGUGGAACUGCGAGUGUAGAGGUGAAAUUCGUAGAUAUUCGCAAGAACACCAGUGGCGAAGGCGGCUCACUGGCCCGAAACUGACGCUGAGGCACGAAAGCGUGGGGAG
rnacentral:rRNA from 1 species